ACCUGGCUGGCUCAGUCAGAAGAGCAUGUGACUCUUGAUCUUGGGGUUGUGAGUUUGAAUCCCAUGUUGAGUG
rnacentral:tRNA from 1 species